UACGUAGGGGGCGAGCGUUGUCCGGAGUACUGGCGUAAGACGCACGCAGGCGGUCUGCUAAGUUUGGAGUUGACAGUUGGUGGCUUAACUGCCAAAGUGCUUCGAAAAACUGACAGACUUGAGGGCUUCAGAGGGACACGGAAUUCCGGGUGGAGUGGUGAAAUGCGUAGAGAUCGGGAAGAACACCAAUGGCGAAAGCACUCUGCUGGGCCGAAACUGACACUCAGAGACGAAAGCUAGGGGAGCGAAUGGG
rnacentral:rRNA from 1 species